AAGAAAAGUGUUCUCAAUAAAAGAGUUUUCUAAGAGAAGGGUGUGGUACAUGCAAUCAACUGAGAUCAAGUAAGUUUUCCCAUAAUACUCAUACAUGUUAGCUGUUAUGACUUGAUUUAUGAAUCUGUGAAUCGCAUGCUAGUUAGGGCUAGGGAUCUGCUCAGUUCUUGCAUGAUUGAAUGCUAGGAGAGAUGCCUUGUAUAUAUAUUAUAUGAGUUGGUAGACUUGCAGCUAUUGCUGAUUAGUUAGUGGUUGAUUGGCCUUAUAUGUGAUGCCUUAUUGCAUUGGGUGUAUUGGAUGCUCUGCUGUGACAGGAAUAUAUGUUGGAAUCAAUAAUUGCUAAGCUUUAAAAAUUGUAUACUGUUAGGAUCUUAUAGCCCUAGAAUAAUUAAUUUUGCCUUAUUCCUUGUUCCUUGUCUGGUUGUGGUUCUAGGGUAGAGUCUGUUAUUCGACAGUCUAUUUGAUCAUUUUUUACGUACAAUUUGCAUGCAUAAGGCAACCGACAGUAAUGGUGGAAUUUCUAGCAUGAGUUAUGGUAUGUGGGUUGAGUGUUCUAUGAUCAUUCUAAGGAUUGGAGUGUUACUGAACGAAUGCUUCUCGCUUUGUGCUUUGUGGAAUUCCUAGGUGAUGGGAGUUAGCCACUAAGUGAAUAUGAUUGUAUUCAUGAGGUGCGUGACUGGCUUUACGGGGAGUUCUUCAGUAGUAUAUGGUAGUGAGGUCGGGAACCUAGGAAGUGCUUCAGUGGGUUUUGUGGCGCUGUUUAGUGAAUUUUUGGUGCAUCAGUUUGAGUAGGUGACUUAGAGGAGUUAGGGUGAUUCUUGAGGAAAGCAUGGAUAGGUGUCGAAGGUAGUAUUGGCCAUGCUAGAGAUAUAUUCUUGGAAUUGAUGUUGAAUUAAUUAUUUGCUAAGUGUAUGCUUUCAAAGUUGUAUAUUUCUAGGAGGCAUUGCCCUAGAAUGAUGGAUUUUGCCUUAUGUCAUGUUCCUUUUUUGGUUGUGGCUUUAGGCUAGAAGCUUUAUUUGAUAGUCUAUAUGAUUCUAUUUAUGUAUAACUUGCAUGCAUAGGGCAACGUGCGAUGAUGAUUUUGAUUUCUGAUUCGGUGAGGAUAGAGAAAUCCUAGAAUAGUCUAGGAUCUGAGUUUGUGUUGUGUUCUGUGGGUCAUGUUUAUCUGUGGUUGGGUGAAUUAGAGGCAUCAUGUAUGGCCUCGGGGAAGGUACAUGUAGUUGUGGAAGGUAGUAUUGGGCUCGUACUACUGAAAGCACAGGACCUGUACCUGAAACAAGGACAAACUUGGAAGCUCUAAGGAGUCCGAUGAGGAGGAAUCCCUUUGAACUUCCUUAUCAAUUGUUCUUUAUGUUGUAUUUUUUUUUUCAGUUGGGGAUGGUGAUGAUUAUGCGAGGAGGUUCGGGUUCAGGAUCAGGAUCAGGAUUAGGUUCAGGCUCGGGUGUAGAGCUAAUUGAUGAGAGGCUGCGCGAGCUUAUCGCAAUUAAGGUUACUCGUGGCAUCCUUGACGUUACCCCAGUGAUCUUUGGUACCAUCUAGGAGGGGAUCAUGGAGAUUAUGGAGGAGCGGCUCAAGUAUUUUCGAGCCGAGAUUUUUUCGGCUUAGAUUGGGACUCGAACUCCCUCAUUUCGGGAGUUCAAGGCGUGUGGUGCGUCUGGGUUCUUUGGGGUUAGGGACCCCAUCACUAGUGACCGCUGGGUUGCAGACAUGGAGAAUGCCCAACGCACGAGCUUUUUCCCCGAGGCGGCAAAGGUGGGGUUCGCAUCCUGUAUGCUGAGGGAUCGGGCGCGAGAUUGGUAGGAGGAGGUUACCCGCGAGGUAGGAUUGGCGGAUAUGGAUGAGAUGUCUUGGGAGGAGUUUGUGCGGAGGUUUGAUCGGGAGUUCGCACUGGCCAUUGAGGUGCAGCGGGUGGUGAGGUAAUUUCAGGACCUUCAUCAGAUGAUAGAGACUGUGGAGGAGAUCACCGCCAAAGUUUAGAGAGAGGGCACUAUUGGUUCCACAGUACGCUGCAGAUGAGGAGAUGAAGAAGAUGAGGUAUCAAUCCAUGCUGAGGGAGGAUAUCCGUUUGUUUGUGACCUUUUCAGGGCGCAAAACCCUGAAUGACAUAGUGGAGAAGGCCCGUGAACGGGAAAUUGAGUUGGAGCUCCGGACAAAGCAGAAUACGGAUUAGGUUCAUGCAGCAGUGGGUCAAGCCAAGAAGCCUAAGACCUCCGAUCCUCCCAUUACGGGCCAGUAGGGUCGAGGCUGCUGUGCCAAGUGCGACAAGCCGCACAGUGGAGCCUGUCGGGCAUCAGGCUCGACAUGUUAUGCUUGUGGCUAGUCGGGCCACAUGAGCAGGGAUUGCCCAAAGAAGGGCUUGAUUUGUUUUCAUUGCAACCAGACUGGUCAUAAAAAGGCCGAUUGUUUGAGGUUGACUGGGGUAGCAGUGGUAGCGCCUGCGCCCACCACAAGUCUCCUGUGGUGAAGAGCCGCACAUUUUAGCUGACCACGAAGGAGGCCCGAGCAGUGCCGGCCGUCAUGAUUGGUAUGUGAUCUAUUUCUGUCUUAUUUAUUUUGUUGUUAUGACCUUGUAUAGGGACCUUUUUGGUCAAUGGAUUGUUGGCUCCUGUUGUUUUUUAUUCGGGGGGCUACCUGAUCGUUUGUAUCUAUUGCACUUAGCAAGAAGUUUCGAGAUGCUCUGGGGACUUUGGAUUACCACUCGAGGUGGAGAAUGCGAAUGACUGUACCAUGAGCGUUGCGAGGGUAUUUCGGAGGAGUAUUCUGAAUAUGUUCGACGAGAGGUUUCCUAUUGAUUUGGUACCGAUUCCUUUUAGAGGAUUGAAUGUAAUCAUCGGGAUGGACUGGUUGGGGCCCAAUGGGGCCGUAAUAGAUUACGAGCGAUAACUGGUGAGAGUUUGAAGUCCAAGUGGGGGAGAACUGGUUAUUCAUGGAGAGAGAGCCUCGCAUGGGCCAACUCUCUAUUCGGCUGCGAGGGCUAGGAGACUUCUUCAACAGGGUUGUUCUGGGUUUCUGGCUUAUGUGUCAGAUUCAAGGAGAUAGACCAUGACAAAUUUUAGCAGGGUACCUAUUGCGUGAGAUUUUCCUGAUGUUUUUACAGAGGAGUUGCCUAGGGUGCCUCCCGAGAGGUAGGUAGAGUUCCAGAUUUAUUUGAUAUCUGGUGCGUCUCCAAUAGUCAAGGCGUCGUAUCUUCUAGCUCCACCUGAGAUGAAGGAGUUGUCUACGCAGCUGUAGGAGCUGCUAGACAGGAGGUUUAUUCGUCCAAGUAGUUCCCCGUGGGGAGCACUGAUCCUGUUCGUGAAAAAGAAGGAUGGCUCACACAGGAUGUGUAUUGAUUAUCGAGAACUGAACAAGUUGACGGUGAAGAACCGUUACCCGCUUCUGAGGACCGAUGAUUUAUUUGAUCAACUUCAGAGUGCAUCUUGGUUUUCCAAGAUUGAUCUUCGGUCGAGGUAUCAUCAUAUGAGGAUAAGAGAUGAGGAUAUACCGAAGACGACCUUCAGAACUCAUUAUAGUCAUUAUGAGUUUGUGGUGAUGCCAUUUGGGCUCUCCAAUGCCCCAUCAGUGUUCAUGGAUCUCGUGAAUCGGGUUUGCAGGCCGAUGAUGGAUCGGUAUGUGAUUGUUUUCAUUGAUGAUAUCUCGGUCUACUCUAAGACCAAAGAGCAGUACGUGCAUCAUUUGAGAGAGGCGUUGUAGACCUUCAAGAGGGAGAGGCUUUAUGCCAGGUUCUCCAAAUGCAAGUUUUGGUUGCGUGAGGUGCAGUUUCUAGGACACAUCAUCAACCAAGAGGGUAUUUUAGUGGAUCCGGCCAAGAUUGAUGCGGUGAUGCGUUGGGAGGUUUAUUGGAGAUUUAUCCAGAACUUCUCCAAGAUUGUAGUACCUUUGACCCGCUUGACCAAGAAGAGUGUGACCUUUCGAGGGGGUCCAGAUCAACAAUUGGCAUUUGAGACAUUGAGACGAAAAUUAUGCGAGGCCCCGAUUCUGGUGUUACUCGAGGGAUUGGAUGAUUUUGUGGUGUAUUGUGACGCUUCUAUUUCGGGUUUGGGAGCUGAGGGGACAUAUGAUUGCUUACGCCUCGAGGCAACUGAAGCCUCAUGAGAAGAAUUACCCCAUUCAUGACUUAGAAUUGGGGGCGGUGGUAUUUGCCCUAAAUAUUUGGAGGCAUUACUUACAUGGGGUCCGAUGCACCAUUUUCACUGAUCAUAAGAGUUUGAAAUAUUUGAUGGAUCAACCGAAUCUGAAUAUGCGGCAGAGAAGAUGGUUAGACGUGGUGAAAGUAUAUGACUGUGAGAUUUUGUAUCAUCACGGGAAGGCAAAUGUGGUAGCCGAUGCAUUGAGCCGUAAGGCGGCAAGUGUUGUAUGGGCGGAGUUCUCUCACAACAAUAAUUAUCAUGUUAGUAUCGACCGAACCCCAUUCAAGAUGUUGUAUGGGCGGAGGUGUAGGACUCCGGUUUGUUAGGGGAGGUUGGCCAUCGUGUUAUGGGAAGCACCGAAGUGGUGCUUAAGACCACUAAGUUGAUUCAGUAGGUGCGCGACAGGUUGCGAGUCAUGCAAAGGGGCAAGCUAGAGCUGAUUGACGUCGUUCGAAUCUUGAGUUUCAGGUGGGGGAUUUUGUUUUGUUGAAGGUGUCACCUUGGAAUAGUUUCAUCCAGUUUCGGAAGAGGGGCAAGUUAGAGCCCCGAUUCAUUGGUCCAUUUAGAAUUUCUGACCGAGUUGGUAGGGUUUCUUAUCGGUUGGAUCUUCUUUAUGAGCUUAUUUAGAUCCAUAACACCUUCCACGUGUAUCAGCUCCGGAAGUGUGUAGCAAAUGAGACUGCAGUUAUUUCAUUGGAUGAUAUUCAGGUGGAUAAAAGCCUGAACUAUGUGGAGAAUCCCAUUGCAGUAUUGGAUAGAAAAACUAAAGCUAUUCGUAACAAGGUGGUGAAGCUAGUAAAGGUGAAAUGGCAACACUGGAAGGGAUCCAAAUGGACUUGGGAGCCAGAGGACAAGAUGCGAGAGCAUUACCAGGAUCUAUUUGCGUCAGCGGACUUCGAGGACGAAGUGUAGUUCAAGUGGGGGAGAGUUGUAACACUCAAAUCCAGGUAUCCUAUUUUUACCCUCAAAGUAUUUCAUUUUUGGCAAAAAAAAAGGAACCUCCGUACGCUAGGCGUACAUAUGAGUACGCUUAGCGAACGCUUGUGCAUGCAACGGGUGGCCGAGGCUCGUACGCGGGGCGUACGAGGCCAAUGACCAAAACCCUAAUUUCUUGGCUUGGACACUAUUUAAAAACACUUGUUGUUGGAUUAGUGUCUAAGGUUGUAACUAUAUUUGGUAAGUACUUGACCCGGUUAUGCAUGGUCCUUUUGGGUUGCCUUCGCCAUAGCAACUUGACAGGGUGAUUUAUAUAGAGAGAAGAGAUAUUAUUAAUAUAUUAUAAGAAUAAUAUAUUAAAGGAAUAAUAAUAUUAUUUGAUUAAUAUAAGUCAUAAAUUAAUUAGGAAUUAAUUUGAUGACUUAAAGAGAUUAAUUGAAUAAAGGGGCAUAAACUGUCAAAUGUGUGAUAGUUGUAUUUUGAGCUAAGAAUCCUUAUAGAUAUGGGGUGGAUGAUUUUAGGGAUGUGGAUCACCUACAAAUUGUCCAAGGCCUUAUCUAGAAGGGAUAUUGGAUUGCUUUGAGGCUAAGUUAUCCAAUUAGGGUUUUAGGGUGAAACCCUAGGAGCUCACAGUAUAAAUAGGCCUUUAGGGUUGUGGAAAUCGACCACCUUGUUAUUGGAGUAACCCUAGAGCCGAUUUCCCUCUUCCUUACCUCUCUUAAAUCAUCUUCUUGCUAGUUGGUGUUUGUAAGCCAUUAGAGGAGUGACAUUUGUGACUCUAAGCUCCAAGAAGAAGAAGGUUUUCAAGCAAGUAACUCCAGGUAUUAUUCUAGAUUUGUUUUUCAUAUGUCUUAUUGUUAGUUUACAUUAGAUCUAGCCAUGAAAGUCUUGGAUAUAUUGCAUGUUCAGUUAGAGAAACCUAGAUCCAAGUUAUAAGGUUGCAUGUGCACAUAAGAAAGUUCUUAUUGUUGGAAUAGUGUCUAAGGCUGCAACUAUAUUAGGCAAGUAUUUGACCCGGUUGUGCAUGGUCCUUUUGGGUUGCCUUCACCAUAGCAACUUGAUAGGAUGAUUUAUUAAGAGAGAGUAAAUAUUAUUAAUAUAUUAUGAGAAUAAUAUAAAGAAUAAUAAUAUUGUUAUUUGAUUAAUAUAAGUCAUAGAAUUAAUUGGAAUUAAUUUGGUGACUUAAAGAGAUUAAUUAAAUAAGAGGGUAUAAACUAUCAAUUGUUUGAUAGUUAAACUUUAGACUGUAAAUCCAUAUUGAUAUGUAUUGGACGGAUUCUAGAAGCUAAGGAUUGCUUCAAAUCGUCCAAGAGUUAUCUAAGGAAUGGAUUUGGAUAGCCUUAAGAGAAGAUUAUCCAAUUAGGGUUUAGGUUGUAACCCUUAAGGAGUCUACAAGUAUAAAUAGACCCCAUGGCUGAUGGAAUUCGACACUUGACCUAAAGUAAGGAACCUCUGGUCGAAAUUCCUCCCCUCUCCUCUCUCCCAAAUCAUCCUCCUUGCUUUGGUGUUUGUAAGCCAUUAGAGGAGUGACAUUUGUGACUCUAGAAGCUCCAAGACCUCAAGAUCAACAAGGAACUCAAAGGUAUGAUUCUAGAUCUGUUUUAAUGUUCUUGUUUAACCUAAUUAGUAAUUAGAAGUCUUGGAUUCAAAGCAUGUUUAUUAGAAAGCCUAGAUCCAAGCAUUAGGGUUUUGCAUGCGCACAUAGGAAAGUUCUUAUGGCUAAAACCCAUCAGUGGUAUCAGAGCCUAGCUUGGUUUUCUGUAAAUUGUUGCUUGAUUAACUGAAACAAACCUGCAAAAUUCGAAUUUUUGGUUUCUGAGUCAUGGACUCGGCGAGUCUCAAAGUGGACUCGGCGAGUAGGCCUGACUCGGCGAGUCCAUUUGUGCACUCGGCGAGUCCAGGCGUCAGGAAUGGCCAGAUUCGGGAUUUCUUUGUGUUUAUCUUAUCUUAACUUACCAUAAACUAAUUAGAUCAACAUUAAUUCGUUUUUCUGAUAAAUAUAACUAUUAUCUUGAUCUAGUUAAAGGUAAUUAUCAACUAAUUAAAUAUUUAAUUUCCUUAUAUGAUAAUUAAUUAAUUAUUUUGAUUAUUUUGGUAAUUAUCUUUAAAAGAAAUCUUGAAUAAAUCAAAUAUAGAUAAUUAGGAUAUUAAUUGUUAAUUGGAAUUAUUUGUUAUUUGAUCCUCCAUGUUUUAAAUGUUUAAAACCUACCCUCAUGUUUUGAAAUUUACUUUUGUGAUUAAAAGUUUUAAUUUAGACAACUUAAAUUUCAAACCCUAGAUUUUAAAAGUUUUAAAAUACAACCCUAUACUAAUAUGAUAUUACUAGAAUAAUAUAUAUAUGUAUAACUAAAUGCUAGUCUUACCGUUAGUAGGCCUCAUUCACGAAGCCGAUCUAUAAGGUGGGUAUAAGGUUGCGGCCUAUAAAAUGGCGCUUAAUGGGUGUACACUCACACCCACCGCUUGCUUGAUUGGUGGAGGGUCGUUAGCCGAACGGGUAGGAUAGGGCAACCUCAUCCUCUCAUUAAAAGUAUAAUAAGAAAUAUAAAGUAACUACACAUUUUUUUAAAAUUUCCCAAUCCUAGUUACUUUAGGAAAAGUGAAUUGAUGCAAUCCCAUGAAAUUACACUUUGCACCUUGCUAAGAUGUUAGUGGAGCGUGUGUGGUUUACCGGCACACUAAUUGGUUCUAAGCGAAGGUGGCAAAGGGUGAUUCAUUGUUUAUCAUAGUUCGAUGGAGCGUGUGUGGUUUACCGGCACAUCGAAUAGGUGAUUGUUACAAUGAAGGCACCAUGUGAAUUUGCAUGGUAAUUCACACCCGCUUUGUGAUCCUCGGCAUCCCAGUCACAAACAAGAGGGGCAUAUCGAGAUUUAAACAUGCCAUUGAAUAGUUUCAAUGAAUCUCAUCCGAACCUAGGAAUUCUCAAAAACACUUAGGACUAAUAGUUUAAGUUUUGUGAUGGAGAAUUAGUGAAUCGUCAUUCACUUACCUUCAAUUUAUUUGCAUGUUAGAUUACGGCAUCCCUUUUCUAGUAUGUAAAUGUUAUUGUUGGAUCCUAGCCCUAAUUUUCUUAUUGGGUGAUAAUUAGGGAUUCUUAUUCUAAUCUAUCUUUGUCCUUUUCUAAUUGUAGAUGUCGAACGCAAACAACGCUGCUGCUAGUUCUUUCACGUUGAUGAGCCUUUGCCAAAAGGUCACCUUCGAUGGAACGAACUUUAGCGAAUGGAUAAGAUACAUUCGCACCAUUGCUCGCUAUGAGGAUAAGGAGUAUGUCCUCGAUGAGAAGCUCGAGAAAAUCAACCCCGAAAUUGCUACUCCCGCCGAAAUCACCGCCUUUGAAACUCAUGAGCGAGAUGCAACGAAGGUACAUUGCAUCAUGAUCGCCACCAUGAACUCCGAAUUCCAAAAGUCCUACGAGGACAUGUACCCGUACGAGAUGCAUCAAGACUUAUUGGAGAGGUACCACCAAAACGCGAGACAAGAGAGGUACGAGAUUUUCACUAACAUGAUUUCCGCGAAGAUGGGUCAUGGAGAAUCUCUUACCGUGCACUUGCAAAAGAUGCAAAGGUAUGUUGACCGCCUUCGCAAGUUAAAUGUUGACUUCGGUGAAGACUUGGCGAUCGACAUGGUGCUUCACUCUUUGCCUCCGAUGUACAACCAAUUUAGGAUGACCUACCACAUGAACAAAGAAGAGGUCACCCUAAGCAAGCUCCAAGGUCUCUUGAGGGUUGCUGAGAGCAACUUCAAAGACAAGUCUGUUGCACCUACUCCCAAUCCGCCCGCUGCUCCUGUCUUGGCUAUUGGACAAGGGAAGGGAAAGAAGAGGAAAGCUUCAUCGAAGAACUAUCGCAAGGUGAAAGCCCGAGAUGGUGCCUCUUCUAGUGGGACCAAAGUUGAUCCCGCCAAGCCCUGCUCUAACCCGAAGGAGGCAGAGUGCCACCACUGCCACAAGAUAGGACAUUGGAAGAGAAGCUGCCCGGAUUACCUGCAAGCAAUCAAAGAAGGAAAGAUCAAGCCAUCUUUCGCAGGUAUAUAUACAAUCAAAUCUAACGAUUCUAAUCAUGCUAUUUCUUGGGUUCUUGAUACCGGUUGUGGUUAUCACAUUUGUUCUAAUGUGCAGGGACUAAGAAGAAGUAGGGAUGUGGAGCAAGGAAGGAUCAAUCUAAUCAUGGGGAACAGAAGAUCGUCGCCUGUGACCAAGAUUGGAGUGUAUUCCUUAGUGCUUAGGAAUAGUUUAGUUUUAGAUUUGAACAAUUGUUGCUAUUCGCCAGAAAUGGCAAGAAACAUCAUUUCAUUUCAUGGUUUAUAUAGACAAGGAUUUAGAUUUUCUUUUAAUAAUGAGAAUGGUUCUAUUUUGGCUUAUCUAAAUGGUGUCUUUUACUUUGAAGCUAUACCAUGUAAUGGAAUAUAUGAAACCGUUAUGAUUGUUGAUAACUUAGGAAAUGAUGUUUUGAAUAUUGAUUCUUCCACUAGUAUGGAUAAAGCAUCCUUGUGGCAUUGUCGUCUUGGACAUGUCAACAAGAAACGCAUAGCCCAACUCCAAAAGGAUGGAGUGUUGGAGUCAUUCGACCUUAGGGAAGAUGACACAUGCGAGUCUUGUUUGCUUGGAAAGAUGACUAAGUCACCCUUCACGAGUACAUGUGAAAGGGGCGAGGGUCUAUUGGACCUAAUACAUACCGAUGUAUGUGGACCGUUUAGAUCAACCACGAAGGAUGGGAACCGCUUCUAUGUGACUUUUACCGAUGACUAUAGUAGAUAUGGGUAUAUCUACUUAAUCAAGCAAAAGUCAGACACCUUUGAAAAGUUCAAAGAGUUCAAGAAUGAAGUGGAGAAUCAAUUGGGCAGGAAAAUCAAGAUGCUUCGAUCCGAUCGAGGAGGAGAGUACCUAAGUCUUGAAUUCCACGAUUAUCUCAAGGAGUGUGGAAUAGUUUCGCAAUUGACGCCUCCUAGGACACCGCAGUUGAAUGGUGUGGCAGAAAGGCGUAAUCGAACCUUAUUGGAUAUGGUUCGCUCUAUGAUGAGUCGUGCUUCACUACCAAUCUCUUUUUGGGGGUAUGCCUUAGAGACUGCCGCCCAUAUCCUUAACCGAGUCCCUACUAAGAAGGUUGCCAAAACACCUCACGAGAUGUGGACAGGGAAAGCUCCCUCGUUGGCACAUAUCAAGGUUUGGGGUUGCGAGGCUUUCGUAAGACGAGAUACUCACGACAAGCUUGAACCUCGAAGUGAGCGAUGUAUUUUCAUCGGCUACCCGCAGACAUCCUUUGGAUAUCUCUUCUAUAGACCGAAGGACAAUGUUGUCUUCGUUGCGAGGAGAGGAGUUUUCCGAGAGCGAGAACUCAUAAGCCAAGGAGACAGUGGGAGGCAAAUCGAGCUUGAAGAGAUUCAAGAGUCGAUAGAUGAAGGAACCUCUACCGCUGGCACUCAACCCGAGGAGGAAACUCCGGUUGAACCGAUUGACGAAUCCUUACCUCUUAGACGUUCCGAUAGAGUUAGAGUUCUACCCCAGUUUUAUGGUUUUCAUAUUACUACCGAAGGGGACACGUAUAUUAGUGAUGGUACACUAAUAAAUCUUGAUGAACCUAAUAGCUAUAAGGAAGCCAUGGCAGGCCCGGAGUCUGCAAAAUGGAAAGAGGCAAUGGAUAGCGAGAUCCAAUCCAUGUAUGAUAACCAAGUUUGGAAUUUGGUUGAUUAUGUGCCCGGACGUAAGACCGUUGGGUGCAAAUGGAUCUUCAAGAAGAAGACCGACGUGGAUGGAAACGUACACACAUAUAAAGCGCGAUUGGUUGCGAAGGGCUUUACUCAAACUCCCGGAGUUGACUAUGAUGAGACCUUCUCACCAGUUGCGAAGAUUAAAUCUAUUAGAGUGAUGCUAGCAAUUGCCGCAUUUCAUGAUUAUGAGAUUUGGCAAAUGGAUGUCAAGACCGCUUUCCUUAACGGAAAGUUGGCUGAGGAUGUUUACAUGGCUCAGCCAGAGGGGUUUGUGGAUCCGAAGCAUCCGAAUAGAGUGUGUAAGCUUGAGAAGUCCAUUUAUGGACUUAAGCAAGCGUCUCGCAGAUGGAAUCUUUGCUUCGAUGAGAAAGUCAAAGAGUUUGGAUUUGUACGAAGCGAAGACGAAUCUUGUGUAUAUGUCAAAGCCAGUGGGAGUAUAGUAAGCUUCCUCGUUCUAUAUGUCGAUGACAUAUUGCUCAUAGGAAACGACAUCCCGACUCUGCAGGAAGUUAAGUCCUGGCUCGGGAAGUGCUUCGCUAUGAAGGACCUCGGAGAAGCUUCUUACAUUUUGGGAAUAAGGAUAGUGAGAGAAAGAAGUAAGAGACUAAUAGGACUUAGUCAGAACACUUACUUAGAGAAGGUACUAAAACGUUUUAGUAUGGAAAACUCGAAGAAGGGAGAAUUACCGAUACAAAGUAAUGCCAAGUUGAGUAAGACUCAAAGUCCGAGUACCGAAGCUGAGAUAGCAGAAAUGAGCCGAGUACCAUACGCUUCCGCAGUUGGCUCAAUCAUGUACGCUAUGACUUGUACUCGCCCUGAUGUAGCCUUCGCUUUGAGCAUGGUUAGCAGAUAUCAAGGGAAUCCUGGCAAAGCACAUUGGAUUGCGGUGAAGAAUAUCCUUAAGUACCUUCGGAGGACGAAGGAAUGGUUCUUAGUCCUCGGAGGGAGUGAUGACUUGAAGGUGCGAGGGUAUAGUGACGCCAGUUUUCAGACCGACAGGGACAACUACCGUUCGCAGUCGGGAUGGGUCUUUACCCUUAAUGGAGGAGCAGUAACUUGGAAAAGUUCCAAACAGGAAACUGUAGCUGAUUCAACGUGCGAAUCAGAGUACAUUGCAGCGAGCGAAGCGUCAAAGGAGGCAAUAUGGUUGAAGAACUUCAUUGGCGAUCUUGGAGUUGUGCCUGCUAUAAAGGAGCCCAUGGAAAUUUUCUGUGAUAAUGAAGGAGCGGUUGCCUUGACCAAGGAACCGAGGGAUCAUGGUAGAUCUCGGCAUAUCGACAGAAAAUAUCACUUUAUUAGACAUCGAGUAGAAGAAGGACACCUCGUGGUUAAGAGGAUAUCAUCAGAAGAUAACCCAGCAGAUCCGCUUACGAAGGGACUGAGCAGGGUUAAGCACUUGCAGCAUGCUAGGAGUAUUGGGCUGAAGGAUGAUAUUAGUUUAGAUUAGAUAGUAUUAGAAACGUGUAAUAGAUAAAUGUAAUUGACAUUUGAUGAUUAAAUAAAGGAGUAUUAUUUAUAAGUAAUGUUACUGUCUUAUGUUAAUUGUUUAGCUAUUGUUUCACUUUGCAUGUUUUGACUUCCAGAAUAAUUGAGUUUAUUAAGAAUAAUCGAAUUAUUCAAACAGUCCACAAUCGUUCAUAUGUUGGAAGUAGGUAUGAAUGAAGAUUGUCAUGAAUUGGUGUGUAGAUUGUCUAAAUGGUAUUAGACAUAGCAAAGGUUUGCUGCAACGUUCAUGAGUGCUUAUGAACAAGUUUUGAGCAUUGGAAUAAACCCGCGCUUGCUGGAAUCACUUUGGAGUGAUCGCAAGACGAUAAUAUCAUAUGGUCUUAAAACCUAGAUAUAUGGUUUAUUAUUUACUAAUUGGUUGUACAUUGAUAAUGCGAAACCGCAUCAGUAAAUUGAUGUCAUAAAACGCAUUGUUGUGUAUAGUUGGUUAGUCGAUAAGUAAAUGCAUAUAAGUCGAAGUUUAUCUGUUACUUUUAUUCUAAGAGGGUAAAAGCGAUAUCACGGCCGCUCGAUGAUUUGAUUUGACUUAUGUGUCGGGCCCGGUCAGGACUGAAUUGAUGUGUUCAAUUAAGUUCUAUGUCAAAUAAAUCUGAGAUCGAGAAAAUAGUUGCUGGACAAUAAGUAUGACAAUGUUUCAUGAAAUCGUCUGCACGAUAUCAAAACAGAGGACUGUACGAUCCCUUAUCUAAAGGACAGGUUACUGAUAAGAUCAGAGUUGACAGCGUCUUUGAGAGCUACGAUUGCUAAUCGGAUUGUGUUUGCAUUUAUAGUUACUAGACUUAUCCAAGUGGGAGACUGUUGGAUUAGUGUCUAAGGCUGUAACUAUAUUUGGUAAGUACUUGACCCGAUUGUGCAUGGUCCUUUUGGGUUGCCUUCACCAUAGCAACUUGAUAGGGUGAUUUAGAGAGAAGAGAUAUUAUUAUUAAUGUAUUAUAAGAAUAAUAUGUUAAAAGAAUAAUAAUAUUAUUUGAUUAAUAUAAGUCAUAAAUUAAUUAGGAAUUAAUUUGGUGACUUAAAGAGAUUAAUUGAAUAAAGGGGUAUAAACUGUCAAAUGUAUGAAAGUUGUAUUUUGAGCUGAUAAUCCUUAUGGAUAUAGGGUUGGACGAUUUUAGGGAUAUGGAUCACCUAGAAAUCGUCCAAGGCCUUAUCUAGGAAGGGAUUUGGAUUGCUUUGAGGCUAAGUUAUCCAAUUAGGGUUUAAGGGUGAAACCCUAGGAGCUCACAGUAUAAAUAGACCCAUAGGGUUGAGGAAAUCGGCCACCCUUGUGAUUGGAGUAACCCUAGAGCCGAUUUCCCUCUUCCUCAUCUCUCUCAAAUCAUCUUCUUGCUAGUUGGUGUUUGUAAGCCAUUAGAGGAGUGACAUUUGUGACUCUAAGCUCCAAGAAGAAGAAGGUUUUCAAGCAAGUAACUCAAGGUAUCAUUCUAGAUCUGUUUUCAUAUGUUUUAAUUGUUUGUUUACAUUAGAUCUAGCCAUGAAAGUCUUGGAUGUGUUGCAUGUUCAAUUAGUGAAACCUAGAUCCAAGCUAUAGGGUUGUAUGUGCACAUAGGUAAAGUUCUUAUGUCCAAAACCCAUCAGUGGUAUCAGAGCCAUGAUUGGUUUCAAUUGAAUGUGAUGCUUAACUGUUUUGCUUGCUGAAAAUCUUUUUUCUUGCCCUCUGUCGACCCAACUCGGCGAGUCAGUGUUUGGACUCGGCGAGUUGGCCCUACUCGGCGAGCCCAAAGCUUGACUCGGCGAGUCCGAGCGUCAGACAGAGGAUAAUUCGGGAUUUUGUUGCUGUUUUGUCUUGGAUUGAUACCUAAAUCGUUUUAUUAUGUAAAAAUCCGAAUUUUAACUUAAUUUAAUGAUUAUCCUUGACAUAAAUAUAGAUAAUUUCAAAUCUUUUAAAUAUUGAUUAUUUAUAUGAUAAAUAUUGGACUAUUUAAGAUUAUUUGGUAAUUAUCUAAUGACUAAAAUUGGAUUAGGUCAAAUAUAGAUAAUUAUGAAAUUAAUUGUUUAAUUUGAAUUAUUUGUUAUUUGAUCCCUAUUGUUUGAAAAGUUCAAUUUCUAUCCCGAAGUUUUGAAAUUUGAAUUUUGUGAUUAAUAGUUUAAUUUAGAAGAAUUUAAAUUUCAACCCCUAGAGUUUUACAAGUUUAAAAUUCAACCCUAUACUAUUAUAUUAUUAAAAGCUUAAUAAAUAUAUAAGUAAAAUUAAAAUGCUAGUCUUACCGUUAGUAGGCCUCAUUCACGAAGCCGGUCUAUAAGGUGGGUAUAAGGUUGCUGCCUAUAAAAUGGCGCUUAAUGGGUGUACACUCACACCCACCGCUUGCUUGACCGGUGGAGGGUCGUUAGCCGAACGGGUAGGAUAGGGCAACUCUCUCUCCUCAUUAAUAAGUAUAAUGAAUCUAUAAAGUAACUAAACUAUUUUAUAAAAUUCCCAAUCUUAGUUACUUUAGGAAAAGUGAAUUGAUGCAAUCCCAUGAAAUUGCACUUUGCACCCUUGCUAAGAAGUUAGUGGAGCGUGUGUGGUUUACCGGCACACUAAUUGGUUCUAAGCAAAGGUGGCAAAGGGUGAUUCAUUGUUUAUCAUAGUUCGAUGGAGCGUGUGUGGUUUACCGGCACAUCGAAUAGAUGAUUGUAACAAUGAAGGCACCAUGUAGAUUUGCAUGGUAAUUCACACCCGCUUUGUGAUCCUCGGUAUCCCAGUCACAAACUAGAGGGGCAUAUCGAGAUUUAAACAUGCCAUUGAAGAGUUCAAUGAAUCUCUAAAAUCUAGGAAUUCUCAAUAAAACUUAAGGUUAUGUUUUCGUGGUGAAGAAUUAGUGAAUCGUCAUUCACUUACCUCCAAAUUAUUUGCAUGAUUGGAUUACGGCAUCCCUUUUCUAAUAUGUAAAUAAUGUUGUUGGGUCCUAGCCCUAAUUUUUCAUUUUGGGUGUUUAAUUAGGGAUCCAAAUUCUAAUCAAACUUUGUCCUUUCUAUUUGUAGAUGUCGAACGCAAACAACGCUGCUGCCAACUCAUUCACGUUAAUGAGUCUUUGCCAAAAGGUGACCUUCGAUGGUACGAACUUUAGCGAAUGGAUAAGAUACAUUCGCACCAUUGCACGCUACGAGGACAAAGAGUAUGUCCUCGACGAAAAGCUCGAGAAGGUCAACCCGGAAAUCGCUACUCCCGAAGAGAUGGCUGUCUUUGAGACACACGAACGUGAUGCAACGAAAGUCCAUUGCAUCAUGAUAGCCACUAUGAACCAAGAAUUCCAAAAGUCCUAUGAGGACAUGUAUCCGUAUGAAAUGCAUCAAGACUUGAUGGAGAGGUACCACCAAAGCGCGAGGCAAGAGCGCUACGAGAUCAUCACUAACAUGAUCACCGCUAAGAUGGGAAAUGGAGAAUCGUUGACUGUGCACUUGCAAAAGAUGCAACGAUAUGUUGAUCGUCUUCGCAAGUUAAAUGUUAACUUUGGGGAGGAUUUGGCCAUCGACAUUGUUCUUCAUUCCUUGCCUUCAUGCUACAACCAAUUUAGGAUGACCUACCACAUGAACAAGGAAGAGGUCACCCUAAGCAAACUCCAAGGACUCCUAAGGACUGCUGAGAGCAACCUAAAGGACAAGUCUGUUGCACCAACUCCCGCACCAACCGCUGCUCCUGUUUUGGCUAUAGGGCAGGGAAGGGGCAAGAAGAGGAAGGCUCCGUCAAAGAGCCACCGCAAGGGAAAGUCCCAAGAUGGUUCCUCUUCUAGUGGGACCAAAGUUGAUCCCGCUAAGCCCAACCCUAACCCGAAGGAGGCAGAGUGCCAUCAUUGCCACAAGAUAGGGCAUUGGAAGAGAAGCUGCCCGGAAUAUCUGCAAGCCAUCAAGGAUGGAAAGAUCAAGCCAUCUUUUGCAGGUAUAUACACAAUUAAAUCUAGUAAUUCAUCUCAUACUAUUUCUUGGGUUCUUGAUACAGGAUGUGGUUACCACAUUUGUUCUGAUUUGCAGGGACUAAGAAGAGAUAGAGAUGUGGAGCAAGGAAGAAUAAAUCUAAUCAUGGGAAACAGAAGAUCGUCGCCUGUCACCAAGAUUGGAGUGUAUUCUUUAGUGCUUAGUAAUGGAUUAGGUCUAGAUUUAAAUAAUUGUUGCUACUCGCCAGAUAUGGCAAGAAACAUCAUUUCAUUUCAUGGUUUGUUUAGACAAGGAUUUAGAUAUUCGUUUAAUAAUAUGAAUGGUUCUAUUUAUGCUUAUCUAAAUGGUGUUUUAUACUUUGAAGCAAUGCCUUGUAAUGGAAUUUAUGAAACUGUUAUGGUUGUAGAUAACCUAGGAAAUGAUGUGUUGUGUAUAGAUUCUUCCAAUAGUAUGGAUAAAGCAUCUUUGUGGCAUUGUCGUCUUGGACAUGUCAACAAGAAGCGCAUAGCCCAACUCCAAAAGGAUGGAGUGUUGGAGUCAUUCGACCUUAGGGAAGAUGACACGUGCGAAUCUUGUUUACUUGGAAAGAUGACCAAGUCACCCUUCACUGGCACAUGUGAAAGGGGUGAGGGUUUAUUGGAUCUCAUACAUACCGAUGUAUGUGGGCCCUUUAGAUCCACCACAAAGGAUGGAAACCGCUUCUACGUGACUUUCACCGAUGAUUAUAGUAGAUAUGGGUAUAUUUACUUAAUCAAGCAAAAGUCAGAAACGUUUGAAAAGUUCAAAGAGUUCAAGAAUGAAGUGGAGAAUCAAUUGGGCAGGAAAAUCAAGAUGCUUCGAUCCGAUCGAGGAGGAGAGUACCUAAGUCUUGAAUUCCACGAUUAUCUCAAGGAGUGUGGAAUAGUUUCACAAUUGACGCCACCUAGGACACCACAGUUGAAUGGUGUGGCAGAAAGGCGUAAUCGAACCUUGUUGGACAUGGUUCGUUCUAUGAUGAGUCGUGCUUCACUACCUAUCUCAUUUUGGGGGUAUGCCUUAGAGACUGCCGCCCAUAUCCUUAACCAAGUCUCUACAAAGAAGGUUGCCAAAACACCUCACGAGAUGUGGACAGGGAAAGCUCCCUCGUUGGCACAUAUCAAGGUUUGGGGUUGUGAAGUUUUCGUAAGACGAGAAACUCAUGACAAGCUCGAACCUCGUAGUGAGCGAUGUAUUUUCAUCGGCUACCCGCAGAAAUCCUUUGGAUAUCUCUUCUAUAGACCGAGUGACAAUGUUGUCUUCGUUGCGAGAAGAGGGGUUUUCUGAGAGCGAGAACUCAUAAACCAAGGAGACAGUAGGAGGCAAAUCGAUCUUGAAGAGAUUAAGGAGUCGAGUGAUGAAGGAACCUUUACCGCUUGUGCUCAACCCGAAGAGGAAACUCCGGUUAACCAAUUGACGAGUCAUUACCUCUUAGACGUUCCGAAAGAUUUAGAGUUCAACCCCAGAUUUAUGGUUUUCAUAUUACUACUAAAGGGGACACGUAUAUUAGUGAUGAUACACUAAUAAAUCUAGAUGAACCUAAUAGCUAUAAGGAAGCCAUGGCAGGCCCGGAGUCUGCAAAAUGGAAAGAGGCAAUGGAUAGCGAGAUCCAAUCCAUGUAUGAUAACCAAGUUUGGAAUUUGGUUGAUUAUGUGCCCGGACGUAAGACCGUUGGGUGCAAAUGGAUCUUCAAGAAGAAGACCGACAUGGAUGGGAAUGUACACAUUUAUAAGGCGCGAUUGGUUGCGAAGGGAUUUACUCAAACUCCCGGAGUUGACUAUGAUGAGACCUUCUCACCAGUUGCUAAAAUAAAAUCUAUAAGGGUGAUGCUAGCUAUUGCUGCAUUUCAUGAUUAUAAGAUAUGGAAAAUGGAUGUCAAUACCGCUUUCCUUAAUGGGAAGUUGGCUAAGGAUGUUUACAUGGCUCAGCCAUAGGGUUUUGUCGAUCCGAAGCAUCCAAAUAGAGUGUGCAAGCUUGAGAAGUCCAUUUAUGGACUUAAGCAAGCAUCUCGCAGAUGGAAUCUUUGCUUUGAUGAGAAAGUCAAAGAGUUUGGAUUUGUACGAAGCGAAGAUGAAUCAUGUGUAUAUGUCAAAGCCAGUGGGAGCAUAGUUAGCUUUCUCAUUUUGUAUGUCGAUGACACACUGCUCAUGGGAAACGACAUCCCGACUCUACAGGAAGUUAAGUUCUGGCUCGGGAGGUGUUUCACUAUGAAGGACCUCGGAGAGGCUUCCUAUAUUUUGGGAAUAAGGAUAGUGAUAGAAAGAAGAUACUAAUAGGACUUAGUCAGAAUACUUACUUAGAUAAGGUACUAAAACGUUUUAGUAUGGAAAACUCGAAGAAGGGAGAACUACCGAUACAAAGUAAUACCAAAUUGAGUAAGACUCAAAGUCCGAGUACCGAAGCUGAGAUAGCUGAGAUGAGCCGAGUACCUUACGCUUACGCAGUUGGCUCAAUCAUGUACGCUAUGACUUGUACUCGCCCUGAUGUGGCCUUUGCUUUGAGCAUGGUCAGUAAAUACCAAGGGAAUCCUGGAAGAACGCAUUGGAUUGUGGUCACGAACAUCCUUAAGUACCUUCGGAGGAACAAGGAAUGGUUUCUAGUCCUCGGAGGGAGUGAUGACUUAAAGGUGCGAGGGUCUAGUGACGCCAGUUUCCAGACCAACAAGGACAACUACCGUUCGCAGUCGGGAUGGGUCUUUAACCUUAAUGGAGGAGCGGUGACUUGGAAGAGUUCCAAGCAGGAAACUAUAGCUGAUUCAACGUGCGAAUCAGAGUACAUUGCAGCGAGCGAAGCGUCAAAAGAGGAAAUAUGGUUGAAGAACUUCAUUGGUGAUCUUGGAGUUGUGCCUGCUAUAAAGGAGCCCAUGGAAAUUUUCUGUGAUAAUGAAGGAGCGGUUGCCUUGACCAAGGAACCGAGGGAUCAUGGUAGAUCUUGGCAUAUCGACAUAAAAUAUCACUUUAUUAGACAUCGAGUAGAAGAAGGACACCUCGUGGUUAAGAGGAUAUCAUCAGAAGAUAACCCAACAGAUCCGCUUACGAAGGGACUGAGCAGGGUUAAACACUUGCAGCAUGCUAGGAGUAUUGGACUGAAGGAUGAUAUUAGUUUAGAUUAGAUAGUUUUGGAAACAUGUAAUAGAUAAAUGUAAUUGACAUUUGAUAAUUAAAUAAAAGAGUAUUGUUUAUAAGUAAAGUUACUGUCUUAUGUUAAUUGUUUAACUAUUGUUUCACUUUGCAUGUUUUGACUUCCAAAAUAAAAGAGUUUAUUAAGAAUAAUCGAAUUAUUCAAAUAGUCCACAAUUGUUCAUAUAUUGGAAGUAGAUAUGACUGAAGAUUGUCAUGAAUUGGUGUGUAGAUUGUCUAAAUGGUAUUAGACAUAGCAAAGGUUUGCUGCAACGUUCAUGAGUGCUUAUGAACAAGUUUUGAGCAUUGGAAUAAAGCCGCGCUUGCUGGAAUCACUUUGGGGUGAUCGCAAGACGAUAAUAUCAUAUGGUCUUGAAGCCUAGAUAUAUGGUUUAUUAUUUACUAACUGGUUGUACAUUGAUAAUGCAAAACCUUUAGAGAUGGAUUGGUUAGAUCCCUAGCUAUGGUAAGCUUGGGUUCCUCAGCAGAUUGAUUAUGGAAUGGUAGCAAGGAUUGGGNAAGUAAAUGCAUAUAAGUCGAAGUUUAUUUGUUACUUUUAUCCUAAGAGGUAAAAGCGAUAUCACGGCCGCUCGAUGAUUUGAUUUGACUUAUGUGCCGGGCCCGGUCAGGACUAAAUUGAUGUGUUCAAUUAAGUUCUAUGUCGAAUAAAUCUGAGAUCGAGAAAAUAGUUGCUGGACAAUAAGUAUGACAAUGUUUCAUGAAAUCGUCUGCACGAUAUCAAAACAGAGGACUAUAUGAUCCCUUAUCUAAAGGACAGGUUACUGAUAAGAUCAGUGUUGACAGCGUCUUUGAGAGCUACGAUUGCUAAUCGAAUUGUGUUUGCACUUAUAGUUACUAGACUUAUCCAAGUGGGAGACUGUUGGAUUAGUGUCUAAGGUUGUAACUAUAUUUGGUAAGUACUUGACUCGGUUGUGCAUGAUCCUUUUGGGUUGCCUUCACCAUAGCAACUUGACAGGGUGAUUUAUAUAGAGAGAAGAGAUAUUAUUAAUAUAUUAUAAGAAUAAUAUACUAAAGGAAUAAUAAUAUUAUUUGAUUAAUAGAAGUCAUAAAUUAAUUAGGAAUUAAUUUGGUGACUUAAAGAGAUUAAUUGAAUAAAGGGGCAUAAACUGUCAAAUGUGUGAUAGUUGUAUUUUGAGCUAAGAAUCCUUAUAGAUAUGGGGUGGAAGAUUUUAGGGAUGUGGAUCACCUAGAAAUCGUCCAAGACCUUAUCUAGAAGGGCUAUUGGAUUGCUUUGAGGCUAAGUUAUCCAAUUAGGGUUUUAGGGUGAAACUCUAGGAGCUCACAAUAUAAAUAGGUCUUUGGGGUUGUGGAAAUCGACCACCUGAUUAUUGGAGUAACCCUAGAGCCGAUUUCCCUCUUCUUUACCUCUCUUAAAUCAUCUUCUUGCUGUUUGGUGUUUGUAAGCCAUUAGAGGAGUGACAUUUGUGACUCUAAGCUCCAAGAAGAAGAAGUUUUUCAAGCAAGUAACUCAAGGUGUUAUUCUAGAUCUGUUUUUCAUAUGUCUUAUUGUUAGUUUACAUUAGAUCUAGCCAUGAAAGUCUUGGAUAUAUUGCAUGUUCAAUUAGAGAAACCUAGAUCCAAGCUAUAGGGUUGCAUGUGCACAUAGUAAAGUUCUUAUGUCUAAAACCCAUCACUUAUAUCAUUUGGACCAAACCCUAAUCAGCCUCCAUAGCCUCUUUUCAUCCUAAACCCCUAUUUUUGCAAGAGAGUGUGAGUUUUGUGCCUUAAGGUGUUUUUGGUGGCCAUUCUAGUGGGUUUGCAAGAAGAAGGAAGUGGUGUUCAAGCUUUGAACAUGGGAAGAGCUUGAAGAUCCUGCAUCUAGAGUAUCUUGGGGAGCCUUGGAAGGUAAAAGUUGUCACCUUGCUUAUCCUUGUUGUUUUUUGAGUUAGGGUUUUCUAGAAGUCCUCUUUUGAGUCCAUAAAUCCUAUCUUGGGAGUUUGGGCAGCUCCAGAGGUUAGGAAGUAUAGAUAUGAGGUCCUUUGGCUUGAUUAUAGCAUAAAAAUGCAAACUUGAUGACUUCUAUGGCUCCAUGCAUGAGUUAAGACCUUUGGAAAGGUCUUAAUGAGAUAUAAUGAGUUGUUGGGAGCAUAUAUGGCAUGCAAAGGCAUAAAUUUGCCAAAUUUAUGCCUUAGGACCCUUAAAAUAUCUAUGAUCUGAAGUUUGAGCGAAAAUUCUUCAUGUAUUAAGAACUUAAUGGAGUUGGAUGCAAGACAACUUAUACGAUGGGCGUACUAUGUUGUACGCAGCGCGUACAACCUAUGAACCCAGUACACUAAGCAUACUGAAGAGAUACGUUGGGCUUACGCUUUGAGAGAGUCUUGGGCUUCUGACAGAGUUUCAAACCUUUGGGCCCUAAUUGUUUUAGGCCUGGACUUGCUGGAGUUAUAGGCCUAGAUUUAUUAUUUGGGCCAAUGUUGGCAUGAUUUGGCAUUUUGGACCUUGUGGCUCUAUAUAGAAUUGGAUUUUUGAUGUUAGGCUCAUUAGUGAAGGAAAGACCUUUGGGCCAUCAUGGAGGGACUUGGACUUAGGAUUUUGGGCCCUUGUGUCAUAAUCCUAAUUAGGGUUAUUUGUAUAUUUGUUCAGUGUGAGAUUUUGGACUAGUAGUCGAAAACCUAUUGUGUUCACCAGACUGAGGUGUGUUUUCUCAUUAUACUCAUGGAUCGAAGGCACCAAUGCUGGCCUAUUACUUGAUAGGUUGUUUCAAUAAUUGAAUAUGCAAUGGUUGUUAUUUGGCAUGUUAUGACUUAUGUUAUUUGGUAAAGAUCGUAGGGGGAGCUCAUAGCCCUUGGAUGUAAGACUAUGGGGGUAGCCCAUGACAUUCCAGGUGAAGACUAUGGAGGGAGUCUAUGGCAAUCCUAUGUAUAUAUGUUGCAUGACAUUAUGUGGUUAUACGUUUGUGUAUUUUGGGAACUCACUAACCGUUCGCUUACAGUUCGUUGGAUGUUUCAGGUACUUCUGGAUCUAAGGGCAAGGGCCCGACUUGAUGACGUAACAUGCACUUUCCAGUAUUCCGCAUUUCUUGUUUUGGAUACUCUGAUCUUAUGGACAUGAGUUUAUGUAAUGAAUUUUGGAAAAACAAAUAUGGUUGUAAUUUCUAAAUAUUAAAUGAAAAAUUUUAUCUAAAUUUCCGGGCUGUUACAGACCGGACUAUUGAGGCAAUUAGGGUUGAUGUCAAAGAAAUUGGGCUAAUUUGAAAACUGAAGUCUUUCUCUCUUUAGUAUUCAUUUAUUAAGUAUAGGGUAUAAAUGUAUUUUUUUCUGUGGAUGCACACAAAUACCCCAGUGGAAGAAUCACGCUCCAUUUUUAAUGGGUGGUGGUGAAUUGUCUUUGUAGUCCUCACCAUUUUUUAAGUUCUUACUGGAUUAUAUAUAUAUAUAUAUAUAUAUAUAUAUAUANNNNNNNNNNNNNNNNNNNNNNNNNNNNNNNNNNNNNNNNNNNNNNNNNNNNNNNNNNNNNNNNNNNNNNNNNNNNNNNNNNNUAUAUAUCGUCGGGUGUCCUAAUUGUUUAUUGAGAAGGACAUGGUAAACAUUGACCCAUGUUUGACCUAAAUUUAAAUCCCCUAAAGGCAAUGAAAAAAUGGCAAGAAGAAGGAUUUAUGACGUACUACAGUCUCUUAGUAUAUCAUAUAAAGGUUGAACCAUUUCCUUUGUAUCCCAGUUAUUUUGGUCAAAAAUCGAUCAAAUGGAUAUCAACCAAAUUGUAUGAGAAAACUGUGGUUUUGUGACUAUUAUGAGUAUCCAAUUGAGAUCAGAAUGACACAAGUGGUUUACAAGGAAAUCUCUUGAUCCUUGAUAGGAUCUCCGAUAUAAAAUUGAUAAUGAUCAUCUGCCUUGUUUGAUUUUAUUGAUUUGAAUGCAAAUUAUAGAAAUGAUAAUAUGAAUACAAGUGCAAGUGUUUGAGUAGCUCUACGUAUGUGUGUAGUGUGAAUUAUACAUGUGUAUUUAUAGUCUAAUCCGAAUAACUAAGAGUCCGAUAUUUUUUGGAUCCUCUUGAAUAAGCAUUCACAUGUUGCUUUAACUUGAUAUUUUUGGGUUUUAAUCUAGUUUAAAGUAACUCUCCAGAAUAUAUGAGUCUUUUGUUGACUAUUUAUGCACAAACACGAAUAAACAAUAAAUAUAGCCGUUAAUCUUGUUAGGAAAUAAUGAUAAUAAUCAGGAUCCUGGUGUAUGUAUCGGGAUCCUUAAAAUCCUUUAAGAUUAGAGAUCUUAGAUAGGGUUCAGGAUCUUGACCCCUAACACCAGUGUAAAAUAGAAAUCAUAGNNNNNNNNNNNNNNNNNNNNNNNNNNNNNNNNNNNNNNNNNNNNNNNNNNNNNNNNNNNNNNNNNNNNNNNNNNNNNNNNNNNNNNNNNNNNNNNNNNNNNNNNNNNNNNNNNNNNNNNNNNNNNNNNNNNNNNNNNNNNNNNNNNNNNNNNNNNNNNNNNNNNNNNNNNNNNNNNNNNNNNNNNNNNNNNNNNNNNNNNNNNNNNNNNNNNNNNNNNNNNNNNNNNNNNNNNNNNNNNNNNNNNNNNNNNNNNNNNNNNNNNNNNNNNNNNNNNNNNNNNNNNNNNNNNNNNNNNNNNNNNNNNNNNNNNNNNNNNNNNNNNNNNNNNNNNNNNNNNNNNNNNNNNNNNNNNNNNNNNNNNNNNNNNNNNNNNNNNNNNNNNNNNNNNNNNNNNNNNNNNNNNNNNNNNNNNNNNNNNNNNNNNNNNNNNNNNNNNNNNNNNNNNNNNNNNNNNNNNNNNNNNNNNNNNNNNNNNNNNNNNNNNNNNNNNNNNNNNNNNNNNNNNNNNNNNNNNNNNNNNNNNNNNNNNNNNNNNNNNNNNNNNNNNNNNNNNNNNNNNNNNNNNNNNNNNNNNNNNNNNNNNNNNNNNNNNNNNNNNNNNNNNNNNNNNNNNNNNNNNNNNNNNNNNNNNNNNNNNNNNNNNNNNNNNNNNNNNNNNNNNNNNNNNNNNNNNNNNNNNNNNNNNNNNNNNNNNNNNNNNNNNNNNNNNNNNNNNNNNNNNNNNNNNNNNNNNNNNNNNNNNNNNNNNNNNNNNNNNNNNNNNNNNNNNNNNNNNNNNNNNNNNNNNNNNNNNNNNNNNNNNNNNNNNNNNNNNNNNNNNNNNNNNNNNNNNNNNNNNNNNNNNNNNNNNNNNNNNNNNNNNNNNNNNNNNNNNNNNNNUAUAUAUAUAGGUUCAGGUUCAUUUGAGACCAUUCUAAUUUUGUGAGACCGUGAGACAAAAUCUAAAAAUAAUUUUAAAAUGCAAAAUAAAUGGAAAAAUCCAAAAAUUCUUUUUUUAAAUAUUAUUUCCGGAACUUGAAUUAACUAAAAAAAUAAAAAAAAAUUCCGUUUUUUUUGAAAAAUACGUGAAAUAUUCUAAUAUAAUAUUACACUGAUAUAUUCUAAAAAGUAAUUUUAAAAUACAGAAUAAAUGGAAAAAUCUAAAAAUUCUUUUUUUAAAUAUUAUUUUCGAAACUUAUAUGUUGUAGAUGCAACUAUUGAAGCAGAAAAAGUGGUUCAUACAAACAGCUCGUGGGGUGGCUGUUGGAAAUGCUGGCCGCCCAACGUCCAAAACCGUCGUCUUCUCCGCUAGGAUAGUUAACGAUGAUGGCAAUAUGUUGUGUUGUGAUGAGAUAUGUCUAAAUAAACCAAUGCGGUGUAUGGUUUGAUUUUUUUUUCUUCAUGUUACGUAAACAAGUAUGAGAUAUUAAACAGUUUGGUUUGGUUUUUGUCAUUGUUGAUUUCUUUGAGCAUCUCUCGGAUGGUAGGUGUUUCUUAGAGAUCGAACAUUAAAAUAACUUCUAUAAUUGAAGUAAAUAGUUUUUGUCGUCAAACAAUAUAACCUGUUUUAUUUUAUUUGACUAAAUGUUUUUUUACAUUGUUACUCUAUUACAUUUAUUUAUCAAU
rnacentral:lncRNA from 1 species